GACGAACGCUGGCGGCGUGCCUAAUACAUGCAAGUCGAACUUGAUUUUCGGAUUGCGUGGCGAACGGGUGAGUAAGACAUAGGUAACCUGGCUUAUAGAGGGGGAUAACGUUUGGAAACGAACGCUAAUACCGCAUAACAUUGUUUUUUCGCAUGGAGAGACAAUCAAAGGAGUCAAAUCCGCUGAAAGAUGGGCGCGCGCCCGAUUAGAUAGUUGGUGAGGUAACGGCUCACCAAGUCAACGAUCGGUAGCCGGACUGAGAGGUUGAACGGCCACAUUGGGACUGAGACACGGCCCAGACUCCUACGGGAGGCAGCAGUGGGGGAUAUUGCACAAUGGGGGAAACCCUGGUGCAGCGACGCCGCGUGAGGGAAGAAGGUUCUCGGAUUGUAAACCUCUGUCUUUGGGGAAGAGUAGAAGACGGUACCCAAGGAGGAAGCCACGGCUAACUACGUGCCAGCCGCCGCAGUAAAAC
rnacentral:rRNA from 1 species